rnacentral:rRNA from 1 species
CACGUAGGGGGCGAGCGUUGUCCGGAUUUAUUGGGCGUAAAGAGCUCGUAGGCGGCUCAGUAAGUCGGGUGUGAAAACUCCAGGCUCAACCUGGAGACGCCACCCGAUACUGCUGUGGCUAGAGUCCGGUAGGGGAGCAUGGAAUUCCAGGUGUAGCGGUGAAAUGCGUAGAUAUCUGGAGGAAUACCCGUAGCGAAGGCGGCACUCUGGGCCGGAACUGACGCUGAGGAGCGAAAGCGUGGGGAGCGAACAGG